rnacentral:rRNA from 1 species
GACGAACGCUGGCGGCGUGCUUAACACAUGCAAGUCGAACGAUGAACCCGGAGCUUGCUCCGGCGGAUUAGUGGCGAACGGGUGAGUAGCACGUGAGUAACCUGCCCUUGACUCUGGGAUAACUGCUAGAAAUGGUAGCUAAUACCGGAUACGACCCUCGGUGGCAUCACCAGGGGGUGGAAAGAAUUUCGGUCAAGGAUGGACUCGCGGCCUAUCAGCUAGUUGGUGAGGUAACGGCUCACCAAGGCGACGACGGGUAGCCGGCCUGAGAGGGUGACCGGCCAGACUGGGACUGAGACACGGCCCAGACUCCUACGGGAGGCAGCAGUGGGGAAUAUUGCACAAUGGGCGCAAGCCUGAUGCAGCGACGCCGCGUGAGGGAUGACGGCCUUCGGGUUGUAAACCUCUUUUAGUAGGGAAGAAGCGAAAGUGACGGUACCUGCAGAAAAAGCACCGGCUAACUACGUGCCAGCCGCCGCAGUAA